rnacentral:rRNA from 2 species
GCUUUUGUACACACCGCCCGUCGCUACUACCGAUUGAAUGAUUUAGUGAGGUCUUCGGACUGGUACGCGGCAUCGACUCUGUCGUUGCCGAUGCUACCGGAAAGAUGACCAAACUUGAUCAUUUAGAGGAGGUAAAAGUCGUAACAAGGUUUCCGUAGGUGAACCUGCGGAAGGAUCAUUA